rnacentral:rRNA from 1 species
GACGACCGCUGGCGGCGCGCUUAACACCUGCAAGUCGAACGGAAAGGCCCUGUUUAUGUCGGGUUCUCGAGUGGCGUACGGGUGAGUACCACGUGCAUACUCUGCCCUUGUCUUUGGGAUAUCUUCAUGAAACUGGGGCUAAUACCGGCUAGGAGCUCCUGCUGCACGGAGGGGGUUGGACCGUUUCGGCGCUUGGGGAUGGCCUCCCGGCUUAUCAGCUUGUCGGUGGGGUAGUGGCUUACCAAGGCGUUGACGGGUAGCCGGCCUGAGCUGGUGACCGGCCACAUUGGGAGUGAGGGACGGCCCAGACUCCUACGGGAGGAAGCAGUGAGGAAUAUUGCACAAUGGGCGGAAGCCUGAUGCAGCAACGCCGCGUGCGGGAUGACGGCCAUCGGGUUGUAAACCGCGUGCGCCUGUGACGAAGCGUGAGUGACGGUAAUGGGUAAAGAAGCACCGGCUAACUACGUG